rnacentral:misc_RNA from 1 species
AACCUUAUGGACCUGCGGGCGUAUACCUGCGGAGGGAUCAUUACAAGUGACCCCGGUCUUACCACCGGGAUGUUCAUAACCCUUUGUUGUCCGACUCUGUUGCCUCCGGGGCGACCCUGCCUUCGGGCGGGGGCCCCGGGUGGACACUUCAAACUCUUGCGUAACUUUGCAGUCUGAGUAAACUUAAUUAAUAAAUUAAAACUUUCAACAAUGGAUCU